rnacentral:lncRNA from 1 species
UCAACCAUCAAAGCUUGAUUUUUGAUCGAGAAUCCCUAAAUUUUUAUUGGGACAAACCGAUCUUAUUUUCUCUAUUUUUCGUUGAGUUUCUUUGAGUUAUCAGUGCUGUUUGCCAUUGUUGAUCACCAGUGGGAUGCGCCUGUGGUGUCGAUGCCAUGGCCUCAACCGUCGUCAACCAAAGCCACAGUCGAUGGUGGGUUCACUGUAC